AAAAAAUUAACUACUAAUCAGCUGGUGGACUUUUUCAUGAGAAUAAAACGAAGAUCACAGUUAUCGAUAAUCCUCGCAUACUGCUAAACCGUUUAAGAGUCAAAUCCUUAAUCCCAGCAGACAAAUUUCAGGAUAUAAUUGAUAUAAGAGAUGCAACAGAGAAAAGUAGAGCUUUUUAUGAGUACUUAGAGUGGUUUGAAAAUAAAAAAAUAAAGAAGAUCCGUCCCUUCUUGGAAGCGAUAUUCAAAGAUUUCAUCAUUCGGCGUUACCCAACAUUAAGACAACUUAAGGACAAACUUUUGAAAGGUGCAUGCCUGUCAGAGUCAAAUGGAGGAAUUACAGAAGACAUGCAGUUAUCAGGUACAAAGAUAUAAAUUAAUAAAUGAACACCUAACUUGCCUUGUUUUGCACAAUUGUCAUAAAUGACUGUCAAGAUACCAAUGUGAUAUAAACAUACCUAUUUUCUGUCUGGAUUGUUACUAAACAUCAGUUUAUAGUCUUCAGUCCUCCUAAAACACUUUUACUCCCACAUGUGCUUGGGAUGUGUAACAAAGCACUUACUGAAGAACAAGUGGAGAGAUACGGAGUAUAGUUUUUGUUUUCCAGCUAACAAGGCAAGAAAGGGCAGUCAGAAAUGUAGAUAAGGAAAUAGGCAGAGCUGAAUUAUACCAUAAUUACCAAAUAAAAUGAGUAAAUCAGAACCAUAAAUAAAGUACAAAAGCAGAAGGAGCUAGCAAGAGAUCUUUUUCUGACUAGACUGUUUUUCUCUUAACAAGCUCUAACUGUUACAUGUACAAAGAUUUUAGAAUUAUUUAAAAAUAUCCAAUGUUCAAUUAUCAAGGA